GAUGAUGAAGAAGAAUCUUUGGGAACUAAAAGAACAAGCGCUUCUCGAAAUGCUACAGGCUCUAAGAGAAGCCGAGCUGCUAAACUUUAUAAUUUGUCUAAAAGGAUUUACUUUUGAGGUAUCUUUGGUUGGACAAUGGGUGAGCUACCUAGCUUUUGGAUAAUACUUUUCAGUAGUUAAUGUGAAGAAAAGGGGAAAAGGGGCAUAGGAGAAAACAUGAAGUGGCUGCAGUAAAUAUGCUGGGAAG